rnacentral:rRNA from 1 species
GGCAGAGGUGGAAGCAUGGUAACAUGUGGAGCUGACUGUUACUAAUCGGUCGAGGGCUUGACCAAG